UCCCUGAUGGUCCAGUGGUUAGGACGCUGGGCUUUUACUACCAGAACCCCAGGUCAAUCCCUGGAUGGGGAA
rnacentral:tRNA from 1 species